rnacentral:rRNA from 1 species
AGCGAACGCUGGCGGCAGGCCUAACACAUGCAAGUCGAACGGAUCCUUCGGGAUUAGUGGCGGACGGGUGAGUAACACGUGGGAACGUGCCCUUUGGUUCGGAACAACUCAGGGAAACUUGAGCUAAUACCGGAUGUGCCCUUCGGGGGAAAGAUUUAUCGCCAUUGGAGCGGCCCGCGUCUGAUUAGCUAGUUGGUGAGGUAACGGCCCACCAAGGCGACGACCAGUAGCUGGUCUGAGAGGAUGAUCAGCCACACUGGGACUGAGACACGGCCCAGACUCCUACGGGAGGCAGCAGUGGGGAAUCUUGCGCAAUGGGCGAAAGCCUGACGCAGCCAUGCCGCGUGAAUGAUGAAGGUCUUAGGAUUGUAAAAUUCUUUCAGCGGGGACGAUAAUGACGGUACCCGCAGAAGAAGCUCCGGCUAACUUCGUG